rnacentral:other from 1 species
UGUUCUCUGAGUUGUUUGUGAUUGGACUGACGUCCCUGAGCCGAUAAUUGUUUAUACAAAGGGUUUUAUAUGUGUUGUCAGUGUGCAGGCCCAGCUUGUACUGGGAAGCCUAAGCCAACCACUUUAACUCCCGCCUUGAACCCAUGGUUCAAGGGCAACAAUUCGACACGGCAAUUUGGAGAAUCC